rnacentral:rRNA from 1 species
GUCUCUGAUAUUUUUGUAUGGUUUGCUGUCGAAAGGCAGUAGACUGUGCGACGGAGGCAAUAAUUAUGCCGCAGUGGACCUGCGCCGACACUUAACUGGGUUGGUUCGUGGGGAUUUUGAAGCUGCGGACGUUUACUUUGAAAAAAUUAGAGUGUUCAAAGCAGGGAGUGACAGCUUGUGGAUAUUUUAGCAUGGAAUAAUGGAAUACGACUUUGGUUGUGUUUUGUUGGUUUUAAUGGCCAAAGUA